UGCAUGUGUGUGUUCAGGGCUGGGGAUGUCAGCAGGCAAGCUUCCUGUCUGUGGAGCUGCUUGCCACAGAAACGGCUUCCCUCCCUCCCUGAGGCCACACCCAUCCACCACCCACACAUCUAUCCACAAAUCUACCCACCCACCCAUCCAUCCAUCUACUCACACAUCUACCUACCCACCCACACAUCCAUCCACCCACCCACUUACCCACCCAUCCACCCAUCCAUCUAUCUACCCACACAUCUACCCAACCAUCCAUCCAUCCACCUGCCCACCUACCCAGCCAGCCAGCCAGCCAGCCAUUGAUCCAUCCAUCCAUCCAACUCCAUCCAUCCAUGCAUCCAUCCAUCCCAGGUACCCAGAGCAAGCUUCACUACUGCCGUGCAUAUGGAUUGCUCUUGUUUCAUCUUUCCUUUCCCCACUUUUUCUAAUUUGUUUGUGGUGAUGGGGACAGCAUAGUGACAGUAGAUCUUUUGUCGCCACAUUAGAGAGGCCUUGGCUGCACCCACCCAGGGGGGGUUCCUUUCUGAAGUGGCAGGAAGGAGGUUUUGAGGUUUGUGAAUAUUGCUUCUAAGUAUCUUAGCGAAAGAUUUGUUUGCCCAUAUUUGUGACAUUUUGGCAAGCUAGAAACCUGAGAAGAUGCUUUCUGGUUGGUUUUGUGUGUGGUUUUACUCUUUAGGGGGAGAAUUUACACCUUGGUGAAACUGUGCUUAACUGGCUAGAGAGAUGGCUCAGUGCUGCCCCUGCAGAGGACCCAGGUUCAGUUCCCAUCAGUACACGGCAGCUCAUGAUGUCUGUAACUCCAACCCUACCAUGUCCAACUUCCUCUUCUGGCCUCCACAGACAGCAGGCAUGCACACUGUGCACUAACAUACAGAAAAAACACCCAUACGGCUGGGUGGCAGAGGCAGGUGAAUUUCUGAGUUCGAG
rnacentral:lncRNA from 1 species